CUCAAGCGAUGUGGUCCUUCUGCUUGCUUUCAUUUUAUCCUAAGUAGGAUAUUCCAUGUCUUUCCCUUUGCUUCUUCUUCUUUUUUUUUAAACUUUACUUUUAAAAGACUUUACUUUUUCAGAGAAGUUCUAGUUUCAGAGCAAAAUUGAGACAGACGUUACAGCAAUUUUCCAUGUGCCCCUUGUGAGCACACCCUCCCCAUUAUCAACAUCACCCACUAGGGAGGUGCAUUUGUACUGGUACAUCAAGAUUGUUAAGAAAAAAUAUCUAAAACCUGCAGGUAAAGCUAAGGAUGACUCCAUGUCCUUUCACUAUGUGUGAUCAGACUCACCCAAGAGUUAUUGACUAUGGAGGAGCAUGCACUUGUGUUCACUUUGCCAUUUGCUGUUUAGUUGCAACCGGAUAUAUGUUAACGUGUAGAUUUCUGUCUGGGAAAAAAGAAGACCUCACAAGUUAUGGUUUAGUGACUAUAGGACACUGUCCAGUUUAGAAUCUCUUAGUAAAUUCAUUUCAGCAUCCUAUUGAACAACUUAGGAUAUAACUCUGCCUUCCUUGCCUCCUCCUUUGAACCACUCCUGCCGUCACAUUGGUUCCCUCGUUACUGAUUUUUGCCACGGGUUGAUUCUAUAUUUGUGUGUGAGUCAUGCCUUCAGCUUUUGGAAGAUUCACCUUUAAUGGGAUCCUUAGUGCUUUUGUUCAUUUCUUCCCUCCCGAGGAGGCGUGGCUUUCCCCAGGAGGCGUGGAUUUCCUCCUCGUUGGCUGUAACAGUCGCUUAUCUUGAUACCUGCAGGGAAAAGGAAAGAGAUCUCCACGUUAACAGAUUCUUAACUGGCUGGUGUGAAGAGUCAUUCCAAGGUAAGCUAAGCUCAGAUAUUUGCUAAAUUGAUUAUGGCUGUUGUUUUUCAUAGUCAAGAAAGUCAGUUUUUGGAAAAGGACAUCGCCACCACAAAAUCAUAUUUUCAAAGAAAAUGCUGGUGCUUUCUUCAUAGUUGGCAUGGUCAUCUGAUAUUUUGUUAUGGUUUAUCUGUUUGUUCAUUUUGGGUCUCCCCAUCAGAAUAUAAGCUCCCUGAGGUCAUGGUCUUGUUUAUUUAGUUCGAGGCUCUAUCUUCACUGACUCCAAGAAUGCUGACACAUG
rnacentral:lncRNA from 9 species